CCUACGGGGAGCAGCAGUGAGGAAUAUUGGUCAAUGGACGAGAGUCUGAACCAGCCAAGUAGCGUGAAGGAUGACUGCCCUAUGGGUUGUAAACUUCUUUUAUAUGGGAAUAAAAUGUUCCACGUUUGGGAUUUUGUAUGUACCAUAUGAAUAAGGAUCGUCUAACUCCGUGCCAGCAGCCGCGGUAAUACGGAGGAUCCGAGCGUUAUCCGGAUUUAUUGGGUUUAAAGGGAGCGUAGGUGGAUUGUUAAGUCAGUUGUGAAAGUUUGCGGCUCAACCGUAAAAUUGCAGUUGAAACUGGCAGUCUUGAGUACAGUAGAGGUGGGCGGAAUUCGUGGUGUAGCGGUGAAAUGCUUAGAUAUCACGAAGAACUCCGAUUGCGAAGGCAGUUCACUGGACUGCAACUGACACUGAGGCUCGAAAGUGUGGGUAUCAAACAGGAUUAGAUACCCCUGUAGUC
rnacentral:rRNA from 1 species